GAUGAACGCUGGCGGCGUGCCUAAUACAUGCAAGUCGAGCGAACAGACGAGGAGCUUGCUCCUCUGACGUUAGCGGCGGACGGGUGAGUAACACGUGGAUAACCUACCUAUAAGACUGGGAUAACUUCGGGAAACCGGAGCUAAUACCGGAUAAUAUAUUGAACCUCAUGGUUCAAUAGUGAAAGACGGUUUUGCUGUCACUUAUAGAUGGAUCCGCGCCGACUUAGCUAGUUGGUAAGGUAACGGCUUACCAAGGCAACGAUGCGUAGCCGACCUGAGAGGGUGAUCGGCCACACUGGAACUGAGACACGGUCCAGACUCCUACGGGAGGCAGCAGUAGGGAAUCUUCCGCAAUGGGCGAAAGCCUGACGGAGCAACGCCGCGUGAGUGAUGAAGGUCUUCGGAUCGUAAAACUCUGUUAUUAGGGAAGAACAAAUGUGUAAGUAACUAUGCACGUCUUGACGGUACCUAAUCAGAAAGCCACGGCUAACUACGUG
rnacentral:rRNA from 1 species